AUUGAACGCUGGCGGCAUGCUUUACACAUGCAAGUCGAACGGUAACAGGCCGCAAGGUGCUGACGAGUGGCGAACGGGCGAGUAAUGCAUCGGAACGUGCCCAGUCGUGGGGGAUAACUACUCGAAAGAGUAGCUAAUACCGCAUACGAUCUAUGGAUGAAAGCGGGGGACCGUAAGGCCUCGCGCGAUUGGUGCGGCCGAUGUCAGAUUAGGUAGUUGGUGGGGUAAAGGCUCACCAAGCCAACGAUCUGUAGCUGGUCUGAGAGGACGACCAGCCACACUGGGACUGAGACACGGCCCAGACUCCUACGGGAGGCAGCAGUGGGGAAUUUUGGACAAUGGGCGCAAGCCUGAUCCAGCAAUGCCGCGUGCAGGAAGAAGGCCUUCGGGUUGUAAACUGCUUUUGUACGGAACGAAACGGUUCUGGUUAAUACCCGGGGCUAAUGACGGUACCGGAAGAAUAAGCACCGGCUAACUACGUG
rnacentral:rRNA from 1 species